rnacentral:rRNA from 1 species
GGGGGGGGCGGGGGGGGGGGCUGACACAGGCAGGUCGAGCGGCAGCGCAGUAGGAGCUUGCUCUUACGGGUGGCGCGUGUCGGACGGGUGAGGAAUACAUCGUAAUCUACUUUUUCUGGGGGGAUAACGUAGGGCAACUUACUCUCAUACCGCAUACGACCCACGGGUUAAAGCAUGGGAUCUUCGGACCCUGCGCGAUUGCAUGAGCCGAUGUCGGAUUAGCUAUUUGGCUGGGUAAAGGCCCACCAAGGCGACGAUCCGUAGCUGGUCUGAGAGGCUGAGCAGCCACACUGGAACUGAGACAGGGUCACGACUCCUACGGGAGGCAGAAGUGGGGAAUAUUGGACAAUGGGAGCAAGCCUGAUCCAGCCAUAACGCGUGGGUGAAGAAGGCCUUCGGGUUGUAAAGCCCUUUUGUUGGGAAAGAAAAGCAGCAGGUUAAUACCCCGCUGUUCUGACGGUACCCAAAGAAUAAGCACCGGCUAACUUCGUG